GCUGUAACACAGAGAAUGUCUGCUCAUCCAGCUGGGCCACGAGGAUGCUUGAGCCAUCCACACUCGAAGCAUAGAUAAUCCAGACGCCCUUCUCAUCCACAGCUAUGUUGAAGGAAAGAAUUUUAACAACACAGCUUGUCUCAAGAGAAAGGAGAAAUAAGUGAGCCUCUCCCCCACGUCAGAGAAUGGCCCUCUGUGCCAGGAGGACUCUGCUCUGCUUGCUUCCUGUCUCAAAGGAUAUGAGAUACCACACUCCAUAUCUCUUCCUCCCUGCUUCUCAUCUUCUCAUGGGUCCACAUCAGCAAGAAAGGCAGACCCCAGGCAGGGACCAGGACAUGGGAUUCCUUCACCAUAUCCCGCCAUUCCCUUGUGGGACAAACCCUGACUGACCUACCUAGGCACAUCUAAACAACUGCAAAAGACAACACACAGUGGGCAUAGCAGGACCCGUGCAGAGACGCAGUCAGGGUACUACGGUCCGGCUGGCUCACCUCACUAUGGUGUUGGAGCCCCCUUUGUGGUAGUAGAGAGAGUUGUUGAAAACCGCAUGCCCGCAGCCGUGGAAGUAAUGCGGGAGGUGGAUGAGCGUGAAACUGCUGUUGAGAAGAGCUUGCAGGUCUUUGAACUCCUUCACCAUGAUUCCUG